AAACCGCGAGGUCAAGCAAAUCCCAUAAAGUUGUUCUCAGUUCGGAUUGUAGUCUGCAACUCGACUACAUGAAGCUGGAAUCGCUAGUAAUCGUAGAUCAGCAUGCUACGGUGAAUACGUUCCCGGGUCUUGUACACACCGCCCGUCACACCACGAGAGUUUGUAACACCCGAAGCCGGUGGAGUAACCAUUUGGAGCUAGCCGUCGAAGGUGGGACAAAUGAGUGGGGUGAAGUCGUAACAAGGUAGCCGUAUCGGAAGGUGCGGCUGGAUCACCUCCUUUCUAAGGA
rnacentral:rRNA from 1 species